UACAGGAAAACACAACGGGACCUAUAACGGGAGCCAGGAAUGAACAGCAGGCAAACAGUAGAAUCCAGCAGCGAGCAACAAAAACCAGUGAGCUUAAAUACAGAGGCAAGAUGGAAAAAUGACCAAGGAACAAGAAGAGCUAACCAGAUAAAAGGUAAAGCAGCUGGGACAGGGAGAAUGCAGAGCAUCUAAAGGAGGGAGGCUCAUUAACACAGAUGAGCAGGAACACAAAGAAGUCCAGUUCCCCAGGUGUGUCGCGGGACACCGGGGCUCUUAAUGAUGGCUCUGCCGGCAGAUUUCAGGGCAUCCAUCCCGAGGUGUGUCCGCUCUCCGGCAGGUGGAUUUCCCUCUGUCUCCGCACCACAGGGAGCUAAACGCGGCUGGCUGCGCUCCACUCGACGGCUGAAUUCACCAUAGAGGAAAAGGACGAGAGAAGGGAGAAAGAGGGCUAGGAAUAUCUGCUUCUGUCUUCUCUUCUCGGUGAAAUGUGCAGCUGAAGGGGAAACACGAAGCCACUGGACCGUUUCCAAAGUUGAGGGCGUGUCCUCAAGCUUCAGGAGCUGUAGAGGUUCUUCAACGAGGCUCCAGCUGAUGAGGCAUCAUGGGAGCAUUCUUUAUUCCGGAAAUGAUCGUAUAACUUUACGCUUGCAAAUAGGUUUCGUCUCAUAGCACUUUUUUUUUGUUUGUUUUUUUUGUUUGCUUUGUGGUGUGUGUUUGCAAACUGUUGAGAUUUUUUCUUUAUUGUCCAGUUUUAGACGUUUGUAAUAGUAUUUGUUGUUGUCUUAGAGAUCAGUGAUUAUUAAUGCACACAUUAGACUGUAUGCAAAGUUUGUUCAUUUUUGUUACUAAACCAUUCGACGUGUCUAGUUGCUUUGUGUUUUAGCGUCCUCUACUGAAAGUAAGGGAAAGGAAAUGCUUGCUCAUAGCAGUUCAUGCAUUUAUUUUAAAAUCGUUUUGCGAAAUUGAGAAAUACACUGUAUUUAAAGUUCAAAUAUUAAAUUGUUUUAAAUUAA